AACGAACGCUGGCGGCAUGCCUAACACAUGCAAGUCGAACGAAGUCUUCGGACUUAGUGGCGCACGGGUGCGUAACGCGUGGGAAUCUGCCCUUGGGUUCGGAAUAACAGUGAGAAAUUACUGCUAAUACCGGAUGAUGACUUCGGUCCAAAGAUUUAUCGCCCAAGGAUGAGCCCGCGUAAGAUUAGCUAGUUGGUGAGGUAAAGGCUCACCAAGGCGACGAUCUUUAGCUGGUCUGAGAGGAUGAUCAGCCACACUGGGACUGAGACACGGCCCAGACUCCUACGGGAGGCAGCAGUGGGGAAUAUUGGACAAUGGGCGAAAGGACCUGAUCCAGCAAUGCCGCGUGAGUGAUGAAGGCCUUAGGGUUGUAAAGACUCUUUACUGGGGAUGAUAAUGACAGUACCCAGAGAAUAAGACUCCGG
rnacentral:rRNA from 1 species